AUAUGCAGGAUGUCUGAUAAUAAUUGCCUCAUCUGUACUCUGCAGAUAGAGCAGAUUAAAUCGAGUAGAAAAGUCCUCUACCGUUUUACAUUUGUAUGUAACUGUUGUCAUUUGUAGGGUGCUCCUCUCAAAACUUUGUCGCGUGCCUAGCGCAUACUUUUGGGUUGUCUCUUCCCGCUGCGCGCUUGUAUUUAGUUAGCUAGUUAGUAGAUCUUUUUUAAUUAUUUUCUCAAUAAUUAUUAUAAAAAUAACAAAAUGGUGAAGGAUUUUUUUAUUUGAUUUAACUCGCUCUACCUGCACAUUACGGAUAGGGCGAUUAUUAUCAAACACCCUGUAUAUAUUUACAUAGGUUAUACGUAUAUGGAUUUUCAUUGUUAUAUUAUAUAUCUCGGGAAAUAUAAUUUAACAAUUUAAAAGGUUUUUUAAAUUUUAUAAUCUUUGUUUAGAUAUACAACUUGAACAAGAUUCGUCAUCUGAUAUUAAUGAAUCACAAUCAUUCCAUUAUAGUGAUUAUUUGUCACAGAACGAAGAAUUUUUUCAAGAUGAUAUUUGGAUAAAUAGCCAGAAAGAUAUUCCAAAACAUAAAUAUUUAGAGAGAUAUCCAAAAAAGACAAAUACGAAUGCAACUUUAAUGGAAGAAAAGCGGUCUGUUCCUGUGAUAAAAUCCAGUAUGUAACAAG